AUGGUCUCUAUCCAGGAAGGAGCAGAAGAGAUGCUGACGUCAAGAAAAGACGGGGGCUGUGACUCUACUGAUGACUCUAUUUCCUGUUCCGGGCUACUUGGCAGGGAUUCUGGCCACAGAGGAAAGGCUCUACACCCAGACACACAAGGAAUAAAGCAGUGUGUGCCUCCCAGAGUGGGUGGAAAGACAAUGAUCGAACAAUCAAAUGCGGUCACAGAGCCAGCAGGAAUGAAGCAACUGGUGUCCAGUAGAGAAGAGGGAGAGAAACCUCAAGGUCGUAAUUUCACAGAGGUUCUUGACACAAGGACUGAAGGCAUUCUAGCCCAGACUCCACCUCUUGAAUUUCCAGUUCACCACCACCAGACUGGAGAUCAUGUCCUCAUCAGGAGUUGGAAGAAGGGAAGCUCAAGCCCGCUUGGGAAGGAUCUUAAUUAGUGCUCUUAACAACUAAGACAGCAGUUCGGACCGCCAAGAAGGGCUGGACUCAUCACACUCGAGUUAAGUGGGCACCACCCUUCCCAGAAUCAUGGACCAUUGUUCCAGGACCAACUGCUACCAAGCUAAGGCUAAAGUGGUUUAACCCUCUUAUUCUGUAUUUCUUUCCUUCCCCCUUCUAUCACUAGUCCCCUUAUCAUUAAUGUAACCAACUCAAGCUCACCCCAAACUAUUACCUUUGAUGCUUGCCAUGUUAUACCCUGCGGAGAUUUGUCAAGUCAAAAGCAACUCUCCACCUCAGAAAAGUGUCUCUCUCCUUCCUGGCUCUCCUCAGACUGGGCAUUUGUUAACUGCGAUAAGUUAGUUUGGGAAGAGUUUGACAAACAUUCCAGUAUGAACUGGGAAUCUAGUCCUCUUAGAGCAGAGCUUCUCUGCCGAAGUUGGUGCAAUGUUCCAUGAAAUACUAAAGAGUAAGGAUGGACCUCCCCAACUAGUACUCACAGUUUCUUAAAACCAUAGAUUCAUUUUACUAAAGGAAUUACCCCUCCCAAUUGUCAGCUGAACCAAUGUAAUCCAGCACAGAUUACCAUCUCUGCUCCUCAGAGUUCUUCCCCUUCAUUAACCAUUUCUAUGGUAUGGGAGCAGAAGUGUCGGGGAAGGACCCCAUAGGAUCCUUUGAAAUGUGCUUCAUUGCUUCCCCACCUCCUGCACCCCCUUCUCCCUCUCCUAAGUUCUCUGCUAACCAAACCUUUUCUCAUUAUAUACCCAAUGAUAAAACCAAAGUAGCUGUUGUAGAGGUUAAAGAUUUAAAACAAAUUAUAGCAAUUGAAACAGGGUAUCAGGAUGCAAAUGCUUGGCUGGAAUGGAUUAAAUAUUCUGUUCACAUGCUAAAUAAAAGCGACUGUUACUCUUGUGUGACAGGCAGGCCAGAGACCUAAAUUGUCCCCUUUCCACUUGGGUGGUCCUCUCACGGACUGGGCAUGAGCUGUAUGGGAGCUCUCUUCCACAGCCCCACAUCCCAAGGCGAUGAGUCAUGCAAGACUCUUUCACUGUUGUUCCCUGAGGUCAAAAGCCCUGUGGGUCAGCCUCCGAGGGCCAUCGGCCUCCAGCCCCUCAUACUAACUUCACCUCAUGCCUUUUACAACAGGGGGAAACGCUGGCAUUCCUUGGAGACUUAACAGGGUGCUGUGAAACCAAGCCUUUUCAACAGCUUACCAAUCAGUCUGCCCUUGCUCAUCCCUGAACAAAUGUGUGGUGGUAUUGCAGGGGACUAUUGCUGGCUACUCUGCCAAGUAACUGGAGUGGCACUUACGCUCUAAUUCAAUUGGCUAUCCCUUUCACCUUGGCAUUUCAACUAAGAAAGUUGAAAACAGAAUAUCAUAAAAAGAGAGAUGUCUCUCAAGGAUCCUUUGAGCCUCAUGUUUAUAUAGACGCUAUUGGAGUACCACAAGGGUUACCAGAUGAAUUCAAAGCCUGAAAUCAAAUAGCUGCAGGAUUCGAGUCUAUAUUGUUCUGGUGAUCGACUGUAAACAAGAAUGUAGCUUAGAUAAAUUAUGUCUAUUAUAAUCAACAACACUUUGCUAAUUAUACUAGAAUACUAUUAAAGGAAUACUUGAACAAUUAGACCCUACGGGGCAAAUGGCCUGGGAAAAUAGAAUAGCCCUUGACAUGAUAUUAGCUAAAAAAAAAAAAAAAGGUGGGGUUUGUGUCAUGAUUGAAGUCCAAUAUUGUACUUUUAUUCUUAAUAACACUGCCCCUGAUGGAACAAUAACAAAAGCCUUACAAGGCCUUACUUCCUUAUCAAAUGAGUUAGCUAAAAAUUCUGGAAUAAAUGACCCCUUUACAAGCCUCAUGGAAAAAUGGUUCAAGAAAUGGAAAGGAAUUAUGACCUCAAUAUUCACCUCCCUUGUAAUCUUUAGAGGCAUGCUCAUUCUUGUAGGGUGCUGUAUCAUAUCCUGUAUAUGAAUACAGGUUUCGUGCAAAGACUUACAGAAACAGCUCUCACCAAAACCUCCCUAGUUCACCCUCACCUUAUUCAAAUAAACUCUCCCUUCCAGAUGCCCAAGAAGAACAGCAGAGCUGAGACAUGCUGAGGCGUUUUGAAGCAGAAAAACUAUAAAAUCAAGAGGGGGACAUUGUCAGAGAUGAUACAUUCCUCUUCAAAAGUUUUAAUUCCUUGUCCUUCCGGUUCUUUGUUUCUCUAGUCUCUAUAGUUACCCGUGCUGUAAACAACCCUUUCCGCCCUUGCCGUGCCGUGACAUGCCCUGAGAAGCCUAGACAUGCCUUGUGCCCUAAGGGAUAACCUUCCCCUUCCUGCCUAAAUAGCUGUGUUCAAUUUCAAACAUUAGCCAAUCAGGUCAGUUUAGACUGUGCAGUCCAAUCCCAGCCAAUGGAGAAAGAACACAGCAGUAGGAACCAAUUGUAUUAGGGAUAAACACCCCUGCCCUACCCUACUCAGCGUUCUCUUAUGACCGUGACUGGCACAAGCUGCACUCUUCUGCAGAAGUAAAUUUGCCUGGCUGAGAAAAUUUCAAGUGCUAUUUCUUUUGUGGCACCAACACUUAUUUCUAACAGUGUACAUCACAUCGCUCCCACUUCUGUGUUUUGUUUUGUUUUGUUUUAAUGUGAUUUGGGGAGUAAAGGGCAUCUGAAGAAAUUUCCAUGACCAAAUAAGGGGAGAUGUUUGCUGUGGUCUCCAUACAAAUUGAACUUUGAAAGUCACAUGUGAGAUUUAAAAAUAAUAAAAGCAGUAGAUAGUACCCAGAAAGUAGCAACCUUAUGCAGUCUGUGCUUCCCAGAAACCCCUAAGACAGUGCAUCUGAAACAAAAAAGGAAAUAUAGAAGACCAAACUGUGGGUGGUCAUAUUUAAAGGGUCAUAAACAAUUAUGGUGUCAUUGUAAUGGAGAAAAAGUCUUUAACAUAGUUUAAGAAACAGACUACCGGCGUUAUCCACUGACUGCCUAGACAGUCAAAUCGACAAUUGAUCAGGCUCUGCUUCAUUGUAUCUUUUCUUUUGUUGCCUCAAAUAAUUGUCUCCCAACUGGAGAGACAAAAAUCUUUGGCUGGG
rnacentral:lncRNA from 1 species